UACGAAGGGGGCUAGCGUUGCUCGGAAUCACUGGGCGUAAAGGGCGCGUAGGCGGGUCUUUAAGUCAGGGGUGAAAUCCUGGAGCUCAACUCCAGAACUGCCUUUGAUACUGAGGAUCUUGAGUUCGGGAGAGGUGAGUGGAACUGCGAGUGUAGAGGUGAAAUUCGUAGAUAUUCGCAAGAACACCAGUGGCGAAGGCGGCUCACUGGCACGAUACUGACGCUGAGGCACGAAAGCGUGGGGAGCAAACAGG
rnacentral:rRNA from 1 species